GUCAGUGUGUGUGUGUACAUGUGAGUAUGUGUGUCUGUCAGUGUGUGUGUGAGUAUGUGUGUCUGUCAUUGUGUGUGUGUGCAUGUGAGUAUGUGUGUCUGUCAUUGUGUGUGUGUGUGCAUGUGAGUAUGUGUGUCUGUCAGUUUGUGUGUGUGCAUGUGAGUAUGUCUGUCAGUUUGUGUGUGUGCAUGUGAGUAUGUCUGUCAGUGUGUGUGUGAGUAUGUGUGUCUGUCGGUGUGUGAGUAUGUGUGUCUGUCAGUGUGU